UGGGGAAUAUUGGGCAAUGGGGGGAAACCCUGACCCAGCAACGCCGCGUGAAGGAAGAAGGCUUUCGGGUUGUAAACUUCUUUUACCAGGGACGAAGGACGUGACGGUACCUGGAGAAAAAGCCCCGGCUAACUACGUGCCAGCAGCCGCGGUAAUACGUAGGGGGCAAGCGUUAUCCGGAUUUACUGGGUGUAAAGGGAGCGUAGACGGCAAUGCAAGUCUGAAGUGAAAGGACGGGGCUUAACCUGUGACUGCUUUGGAAACUGUGUAGCUUGAGUGCCGGAGGGGUAAGCGGAAUUCCUAGUGUAGCGGUGAAAUGCGUAGAUAUUAGGAGGAACACCAGUGGCGAAGGCGGCUUACUGGACGGUAACUGACGUUGAGGCUCGAAAGCGU
rnacentral:rRNA from 1 species